GUUUGUUAACGUGUUAAUUAAAUGUAUUAUAGGCCUAAUUAUAAACACACUGGUUUGUAGCGUAAAAUAGUUGUUAUUCUUGUAGCGGAAAAUGAAUCGGAAGUCUCGCGCAUUCACAGGAAAUAGCGUACGUCCGUGUUUAAAAAUAAAGUGAAAACUACACUAUAUGCAGGGGGAUCCUAAACCAACAAAACCACUGGACAAUGAAACAAAGAGGACCUUGCUUGGCAAGCAACAUGAUCUCUCCUCUACCUCCCUAUCUUCAUCUAUCUCCAGUGGUUUCCAUGGCGACAACACUUGGUCCUGCCUGCCAGUGAUCCUUUUUGACCCCUGAGGGUAACCUUUGGCCUAAGGGGUCAUGGCCAGGGUCAAGAGGUCAGUAGUGGCCAGAGGGCGAUGAAAGCACUUCUGUGAUUGGCUCUCUUACCAGUCCACAUAUUUUCAUUUUGAGGCUUAAGUACAGGCCUCGUCCCUCAGUAAACCAACUAAAAGACUGUACUUCCUCUAUUUCCAACAAAUACACAGACACACUGCCAUAAUCUCAGUCCAACAUUGUGAGCAUUUGAUUGCUGACAAUGUGUGGCGGAUGAAUGCAUCGGAACACUCUUGAGAAAACAGAAAACGUAGCAUCGAUCAUAUUCCCUCUGCGUGAAUGUGUGGGUGUGUGUUUGUAUGAAACUUCUUGUUAAGGGCUACGGUAUCUGCUUUGCAUCACCAAGCGGCCUAUUCAUUUCUUUCACACCUCGUUCUUUAUCAGUUGGAGAGAAACCGCAAUGGAGUGCUUUUAAAGAUGGUAAUGUGUCUUCUUCCUCAGCCUUGCAUUGAAAGGACUUCAUUCCAAGUCGCUGUGCAUAAUGGCGUCAACUAAAUGGCCGAAACAUAAUGUAAAACCUGCCGGUCACAUGACUAUAGCCAUCCACAGUUCCGUAAUUCAUCCUUCGGAUGAUGGGUCGUCAAUAUUGAUUUAUGAGCGUAAUGGUCAUGGACUGAUAGAAGGGUAGGAUGGGGGAAGAUGAGUUAAGAGAAGAUGGAGAGAAAGAGAUAGAGGAGGAUAAAGGGGGUGCAGAGGUGAAGGUGGACACGGAGUGCUUGUAGAGCUGGAGAAGGAGGAAAAGGAUGGCGCAUCCCUAACAAAGACACCAGGUGCCUGGGAGAUGGUCAACAUAUAUUCAAAGGAAGCAUCCCUCAUAAGCAGGUUAACAACCUCCGCUGAACCCACCGCUAUUACAUAAGAUCUCUGAAGGACUCUUAAAAGGUAUUUUAAUAGGAACUGUGACCUUUCACCUUCCAGCACUGACACUAAGCUCCUGACCCCACUUACAGACACCAGUGACACUACCAUCAUUUUAGUUCCUUCCUCCUGUUCAUCGUUAUCUCCAUCUCAUUAAAACAGCCAUGUUUACUGCUUAU